UGUUCGCGGGAGCGCCGCACCUACACCAGCCAACCCAGAUCCCGAGGUCCGACAGCGUCCGGCCCAGAUCCCCACGCCUGCCAGCUCCACUCCGCUGUCGCCCACCCGCAUCACCCGGCUGCAGGAGAAGGAGGACCUGCAGGAGCUCAAUGAUCGCUUGGCGGUCUACAUCGACCGUGUGCGCUCGCUGGAAACGGAGAACGCAGGGCUGCGCCUUCGCAUCACCGAGUCUGAAGAGGUGGUCAGCCGCGAGGUGUCCGGCAUCAAGGCCGCCUACGAGGCCGAGCUCGGGGAUGCCCGCAAGACCCUUGACUCAGUAGCCAAGGAGCGCGCCCGCCUGCAGCUGGAGCUGAGCAAAGUGCGUGAGGAGUUUAAGGAGCUGAAAGCGCGCAAUACCAAGAAGGAGGGUGACCUGAUAGCUGCUCAGGCUCGGCUGAAGGACCUGGAGGCUCUGCUGAACUCCAAGGAGGCCGCACUGAGCACUGCUCUCAGUGAGAAGCGCACGCUGGAGGGCGAGCUGCAUGAUCUGCGGGGCCAGGUGGCCAAGCUUGAGGCAGCCCUAGGUGAGGCCAAGAAGCAACUUCAGGAUGA
rnacentral:sRNA from 1 species